rnacentral:lncRNA from 1 species
UCAUAACAUGCAAUCAACUCUCUUUCACCUACUGUCCCACUGAUUGUGCUCUGUUUGAAGUUCAAUUCAUUCAAAAACUAUUUUAUUUCAAUCAGAUCACCAUGUCAAACUCUGAUAAUACUGUUGAUGCUAAUGUACAACCAUUUGUAGUUGUGAAUGAUCAUGUGGCUCCAUCUGAUAAGUCCAUCUCUGAUUCUGUUGUUGAGCUUGUUACUUU